rnacentral:lncRNA from 1 species
GUUUGAGGCGUGGAAUUCCAGUCUGAAUGAUUGCUCUAAAAUCUCGCUCGUCGGAGAUGUGAGGCGAAUUCUGAUGCCUGAUCCCUGCUUGGAUGAGGAUCCGUCGACGUGGAGGAGCCAAGUGGAAUUUGGUUCCUCGUUGGUCGUGGUCUCUGCUGGUAGUUCGACCAAGAAGUCUGCAAGUACUUGUGAUUUUGCGC